ensembl:lncRNA
UAUGUGGAAAACUUUAUAUUCAGAUUGUAAAACGCAUGAAAAUAUAAAUUAAUGGUCUUAAUUUGGUCACCGUUGGAAAAGUUGCCUACCAUCCUGAGACUUGACCAACUGGUCCCAGGGCCAGACUGGGACCCCCAUGCCAACAGGUUCGGCUCCGGUGGGUUUUCGGAACAUCGCAGACCAGCUGCCCGUCACCGAUUUGGACGUAAGCCGACGACAUGCGGGCGUUCGGCAGGGAGACACUCCCCGCGGGGAGAACUUUCUGCGGUUUACCGAACAACUGGGAUAAGGAUGCGAGGAGAUGUAAAUAAAGAGUCCAACUGUGUCUUUAGUUUGUCUCUCUCUGUUGGGCCUUGCUUGAUUACCAGCAUAUGGAUA